rnacentral:rRNA from 1 species
GAUGAACGCUGGCGGCGUGCCUAAUACAUGCCAGUAGAACGCUGAAGCUUGGUGCUUGCACCGAGCGGAUGAGUUGCGAACGGGUGAGUAACGCGUAGGUAACCUGCCUCUUAGCGGGGGAUAACUAUUGGAAACGAUAGCUAAUACCGCAUAAAAGUCGAUAUCGCAUGAUAUUGAUUUGAAAGGUGCAAAUGCAUCACUAAGAGAUGGACCUGCGUUGUAUUAGCUAGUUGGUGAGGUAACGGCUCACCAAGGCGACGAUACAUAGCCGACCUGAGAGGGUGGUCGGCCACACUGGGACUGAGACACGGCCCAGACUCCUACGGGAGGCAGCAGUAGGGAAUCUUCGGCAAUGGGGGCAACCCUGACCGAGCAACGCCGCGUGAGUGAAGAAGGUUUUCGGAUCGUAAAGCUCUGUUGUAAGAGAAGAACGAGUGUGAGAGUGGAAAGUUCACACUGUGACGGUAACUUACCAGAAAGGGACGGCUAACUACGUG